CACCUUGGUCCAGUUGGAGCUAAUCCCGGGGAUAUCUCAUUAUUUUCUGGAGUCUCUCAUUAUUCCUGGACCGCUAACAGUGAGGAAGAGAUCCUCACUUCAAGGAUCUACCUCUCCUGAGCUUGCUGGCCAAGUCUGGUGGCGCCAUGAAAUUGUCCUCAGCUCAGUAGCGUUUGGCACAGUAUCGAUGUGUCAUUGCAGGCACGACCGUGCGAUCGACGUGUACCGCCUCCCCCGGAAGGAGAAUGGGGACGGUCAUCCUUGACCGCAACAUCCAAGUACCCGUCCCUCAUUCAAGCCCUCUGGCCCUGGACCCCAGACUCGCCCAUGUCAGGCCUCGAUCUUCUUGGUUGUUGGAUGAGGUACCUAAUUCACACGCAGGCUGGAGGGAUGAGACGGUCUAAUUAAUCAUCGGGAACCGAGCCUGAAUUUAAUAGGCACUCAAUAUAUGUGGUCACCACUCUCCUGCUACUUCUGUAUUAGUAAUAUCAGUAAGAAUAUUAAUGUCAUGAACGAGCCGCCUCGGGUCAAGCACCCAACACAGCGCCUGGGGGGCCAUCGGUCCCCUUCCCUUCUCCCGGCGAGCGUCCUGGCUGUGUCCGGUGGCUGACCCACCCCAAUUAGGUGACUCUCACGUGAAUAUUGACACACAAAGGAACCAGCUGGUGGCCUCUGAACUCACCUCACUUGGGAUCACAGGCUGAUUUCAGCCCCAGUCCUCAGCGCUGAGAGCCAGACUCCUAAUCUCCUUUGACACCAAAGGGACCUGGCCUCACCCCAACCUUUGCUCCCCGUCUCCCCGGUUCCCAGAGUCCCCUGGGCCUGGAGGGAGUCACUGCCCACAGCAGGGAUGCGGCCUGGACCGAGAGCUGGAAGGCCUUCCCCGGGCCGACGUCUGCGGCUCGCAGCAGGGGGAGAUGGAGGCGAAGCAAGUGGAAGCCUUUGGCCUCUGGCUUCUGGAUGGAACAGGGGUGUGUGCAGGUGGGUUUCCAGCCAGAGAGUUCAGGCAGGAGGCAGUUCUGUCGCCCAGGACGGAAAUGCCGACGG